AGCAGUAGCCACGGUAAUACGGAGGGGGCUAGCGUUGUUCGGAAUUACUGGGCGUAAAGCGCACGUAGGCGGCUUGGUAAGUUAGAGGUGAAAGCCUGGAGCUCAACUCCAGAAUUGCCUUUAAGACUGCCGAGCUAGCAGGUGAGAGAGGUAAGUGGAAUUCCGAGUGUAGAGGUGAAAUUCGUAGAUAUUCGGAAGAACACCAGUGGCGAAGGCGGCUUACUGGCUCAUACUGGACGCUGAGGUGCGAAAGCGUGGGGAGCAAACAGGAUUAGAUACCCCGGUAGUCCCUGUCUCUUAUAC
rnacentral:rRNA from 1 species